rnacentral:rRNA from 1 species
CAGCAGCCGCGGUAAUACGAAGGGUGCAAGCGUUACUCGGAAUUACUGGGCGUAAAGCGUGCGUAGGUGGUGGUUUAAGUCCGUUGUGAAAGCCCUGGGCUCAACCUGGGAAUUGCAGUGGAUACUGGGUCACUAGAGUGUGGUAGAGGAUAGUGGAAUUUCCGGUGUAGCAGUGAAAUGCGUAGAGAUCGGAAGGAACAUCUGUGGCGAAGGCGACUAUCUGGGCCAACACUGACACUGAGGCACGAAAGCGUGGGGAGCAAACAGGAUUAGAUACCCGGGUAGUCCAUGUCUCUUAUAC